GGAAAGCAGGAGUAGGAGAGACGGAAACCAAAGCUCUUAAAAACGCUCAUUAUGCAUCGUCGCAAAAGACUUGAGAGUUUUCAUUUCUCCUCUACGACUGUUAUCCUGUGUAUCUCUGUAGCCUUUGAGUUCAUGCGGUCCUUUCAUUGACGCCUAUAGCUCCCUGAUGAGCUUCACUGCACCUAUCUUCAGUCUCACUUGGCUUUCCACGACGACCUCCUCGUAUAGGGGAGAGUGGGGAUAGGUGAACCACGGGGAUAGAAGAACCACUACAAAUAUUUCACCUUCUAUCAUGAUUUUGUGCGCCAUCUAUAUGUGUGUUGCUUACUUAGUCGAUAUCCUAACCUCACACGCACGCACAGUCGCGUCAAACGAUUGCUGUCGUUUUUAUCGCUAAUCGAAGUUUGUAUUCGCCGUUUGCACCUUCAAUUGUGACCUAACGUUUUCUUGGAAAAAUUUUAUCGUGCUUCGCCAGUGGUAUUGAACUUCAUAAAAUUGUAUUUUAUCGAGGACUUACGAGGGUACCCAAAGGCUAAACCACGAAAACAGACGACUCGGGGAAGAAAACGAGGAAGGAGUAUCAUUGCUACAGACUCACCGCAGAAAAAUUGAUCGCGGAAAAACACAAUCAGAAAACUCAAGAAAACCUUCGAAAAAAGAAAGAAUAAAAACAAAAAUAAGAAUAAAUAGCAAUAUUGUAAUGUUUGAUUUCAUGCUGUAAAGGUGCAAUGUUUAUAUUCGAACAGAAAGAAGGCAUGCACAAAGAAAUAAAUUACACUUUUUUUAUACAAUUGUA